UUUGUUGCAUGCAAAGGGAUACAAAUAUGACUGAAACUUUCAAUUUAUAUAUGUUAUCAUUUUAUUUCUUACCUUAUUUCUUGUUGCAAAGACUGUUGAUGGUAAUUAAAAUUUCCAUAUCUCUUUAUAUAUUUUUUAUAGAUAUAUUAUAUAUAUAUAAUAUGUUAUCUCAUUUGAAUAAUAUUCUUAUUUUUCUAUUUCUUUAUGCAGAGUUUUUUACUGUGAAAAAGAUUUUGCUUGUCACCCAAUUUUGUUCUCAAGCACAUGUGCAUGAACAACAGAUGUGUAUAUGAUCAUAUGGAGAAUAAAUAAAUUAAGUAUCAGAUCCAAUAAAGUACACUUACACUGUUCAAGUAAGAAUGAUUUCUUAGACAAGCAAAAUAAAUCUACUUAAUACACUUUACUGUUUCAAACUUGCCAUUUAGUUAUUGGAAUGGCACCAAAUAAGUGUUUCUUUAAAUUUUAUU
rnacentral:lncRNA from 1 species